rnacentral:misc_RNA from 1 species
UCCGGUUUGUCACCGGCAGUCUGGCGUGAGUCCCCAACUUAAUGCUGGCAACAUGCAACGGGGGUUGCGCUCGUUGCGGGACUUAACCCAGCAUCUCACGACACGAGCUGACGACAGCCAUGCACCACCUGUGACAGUGCCCCGAAGGGAGGGUGUGUUUCCACGGCGGUCACCAACAUGUCAAGCCCAGGUAAGGUUCUUCGCGUUGCGUCGAAUUAAACCACAUGCUCCGCUGCUUGUGCGGGCCCCCGUCAAUUCCUUUGAGUUUAGCCUUGCGGCCGUACUCCCCAGGCGGGGCACUUAGUGCGUUAGCGACGGCACGGGAGGAGUCGACACCUCCCACACCUAGUGCCCAUCGUUUACGGCGUGGACUAC